GAUGAACGCUGGCGGCGUGCCUAAUACAUGCAAGUCGAGCGAACGGACGAGAAGCUUGCUUCUCUGAUGUUAGCGGCGGACGGGUGAGUAACACGUGGAUAACCUACCUAUAAGACUGGGAUAACUUCGGGAAACCGGAGCUAAUACCGGAUAAUAUUUUGAACCGCAUGGUUCAAAAGUGAAAGACGGUCUUGCUGUCACUUAUAGAUGGAUCCGCGCUGCAUUAGUUAGUUGGUAAGGUAACGGCUUACCAAGGCAACGAUGCAUAGCCGACCUGAGAGGGUGAUCGGCCACACUGGAACUGAGACACGGUCCAGACUCCUACGGGAAGCAGCAGUAGGGAAUCUUCCGCAGUGGGCGAGAGCCUGACGGAGCAACGCCGCGUGAGUGAUGAAGGUCUUCGGAUCGUAAAGCUCUGUUAUUAGGGAAGAACAUAUGUGUAAGUAACUGUGCACAUCUUGACGGUACCUAAUCAGAAAGCCACGGCUAACUACGUG
rnacentral:rRNA from 1 species